rnacentral:rRNA from 1 species
UUUUAAUGGAGAGUUUGAUCCUGGCUCAGGAUGAACGCUGGCGGCGUGCUUAACACAUGCAAGUCGAACGAUGAAGACCGUGCUUGCACGGUUGGAUUAGUGGCGAACGGGUGAGUAUCACGUGAGUAACCUUCCCUUAACUCUGGGAUAAGCCCGGGAAACUGGGUCUAAUACCGGAUACGACCAGUCCUCGCAUGGGGUGCUGGUGGAAAGAUUUAUCGGUUUUGGAUGGACUCGCGGCCUAUCAGCUUGUUGGUGAGGUAAUGGCUCACCAAGGCGAUGACGGGUAGCCGGCCUGAGAGGGUGACCGGCCACACUGGGACUGAGACACGGCCCAGACUCCUACGGGAGGCAGCAGUGGGGAAUAUUGCACAAUGGGCGAAAGCCUGAUGCAGCGACGCCGCGUGCGGGAUGACGGCCUUCGGGUUGUAAACCGCUUUCAGCAGGGAAGAAGCGAAAGUGACGGUACCUGCAGAAGAAGCGCCGGCUAACUACGUGCCAGCAGCCGCGGUAAUACGUAGGGCGCGAGCGUUAUCCGGAAUUAUUGGGCGUAAAGAGCUCGUAGGCGGUUUGUCACGUCUGCUGUGAAAGCCCGGGGCUCAACCCCGGGUGUGCAGUGGGUACGGGCAGACUAGAGUGCAGUAGGGGAGACUGGAAUUCCUGGUGUAGCGGUGAAAUGCGCAGAUAUCAGGAGGAACACCGAUGGCGAAGGCAGGUCUCUGGGCUGUUACUGACGCUGAGGAGCGAAAGCAUGGGGAGCGAACAGGAUUAGAUACCCUGGUAGUCCAUGCCGUAAACGUUGGGCACUAGGUGUGGGGAACAUUCCACGUUUUCCGCGCCGUAGCUAACGCAUUAAGUGCCCCGCCUGGGGAGUACGGCCGCAAGGCUAAAACUCAAAGGAAUUGACGGGGGCCCGCACAAGCGGCGGAGCAUGCGGAUUAAUUCGAUGCAACGCGAAGAACCUUACCAAGGCUUGACAUGGACCGGACCGCUGCAGAGAUGCAGUUUCCCUUCGGGGUCGGUUCACAGGUGGUGCAUGGUUGUCGUCAGCUCGUGUCGUGAGAUGUUGGGUUAAGUCCCGCAACGAGCGCAACCCCUAUCCUAUGUUGCCAGCACGUGAUGGUGGGGACUCAUGGGAGACUGCCGGGGUCAACUCGGAGGAAGGUGGGGACGACGUCAAAUCAUCAUGCCCCUUAUGUCUUGGGCUUCACGCAUGCUACAAUGGCCGGUACAAUGGGUUGCGAUACUGUGAGGUGGAGCUAAUCCCUAAAAGCCGGUCUCAGUUCGGAUCGAAGUCUGCAACUCGACUUCGUGAAGUUGGAGUCGCUAGUAAUCGCAGAUCAGCAACGCUGCGGUGAAUACGUUCCCGGGCCUUGUACACACCGCCCGUCAAGUCACGAAAGUGGGUAACACCCGAAGCCGGUGGCCUAACCCUUGUGGGGGGAGCCGUCGAAGGUGGGACUCGCGAUUGGGACUAAGUCGUAACAAGGUAGCCGUACCGGAAGGUGCGGCUGGAUCACCUCCUUUCUAAGGA